AAUGAGCCUGCGAGUUGUGGUGUCUGGCAAGGUUAAGCAAACGCGAAGCCGUAGCGAAAGCGAGUCUGAAUAGGGCGCUUAGUCAGAUGCUGCAGACCCGAAACGAAGUGAUCUAUCCAUGAGCAAGUUGAAGCUAGUGUAAGAACUAGUGGAGGACUGAACCCAUAGGCGUUGAAAAGCCCCGGGAUGACUUGUGGAUAGGGGUGAAAGGCCAAUCAAACUUCGUGAUAGCUGGUUCUCUCCGAAAUAUAUUUAGGUAUAGCGUUGUGUCGUAAUAUAAGGGGGUAGAGCACUGAAUGGGCUAGGGCAUACACCAAUGUACCAAACCCUAUCAAACUCCGAAUACCUUAUAUGUAAUCACAGCAGUCAGGCGGCGAGUGAUAAAAUCCGUCGUCAAGAGGGAAACAACCCAGACUACCAGCUAAGGUCCCUAAAUCUUACUUAAGUGGAAAACGAUGUGAAGUUACUUAAACAACCAGGAGGUUGGCUUAGAAGCAGCCAUCCUUUAAAGAAAGCGUAAUAGCUCACUGGUCUAGUGAUUUUGCGCGGAAAAUAUAACGGGGCUAAAGUAAGUACCGAAGCUGUAGACUUAGUUUAC
rnacentral:rRNA from 1 species